rnacentral:ncRNA from 12 species
GGGUGUGGUGCGCACCGUACCACAGGCUUAGGGGAAGGUCGGGCCGCCUUCC